GUGAGAUACACACAUGUAUAUAGUGAUCAGAUGAUCAGAAGCUGGCAGCUGGAUGAUGAUGGAUGGAUGGAUGGAUCGUCGAUGAAGCAGGUAGGUAGAGAUGGAUGAUUACUUGUCGAUCUGGCCGAGCUUGCCGAGGCCGUUGCAGUUGGGGCAGACGAUCUGGGGGAGGUCCUUCCGGGCGGCGUUGGCGCGCAGCGUGGCGCCGCCCUUGCGCACGAACCCGGCGCCGUCGCACUCCGGGCACGUGUCCUUCCGCGAGAACAGUAUCGGGAACGCCGUCCCCACCAGCGCCACCGCCACCGCCCCCGCGAUCAGGUACGUG
rnacentral:misc_RNA from 1 species